AAACAAGCAAUCCUAAUAAUACCUGAAAACACACCAGACGUGAUAGACGAUACAUCAUUGCUCAAAUCAAUUGGGGAUGAAGCAUACAAAACCCAAGUUUGCCCAUUAUUUAGCUUGAUGGUAUAUUUAGUACGAUUACCAUUGGGUGAACAUUCAAGAAUGGCGUGAAUUGUCGAAAUCGAUAUGGCUACAUUUUCAAUAACACUACACGUAAUAAAGGGAGAACCUUUAACAAGAAAGAACCUAAGUUUGCUAGAGGGAAGGUCUAAUGUGACA
rnacentral:misc_RNA from 1 species